CAGUCGCCACGGUAAUACGGAGGGGGCUAGCGUUGUUCGGAAUUACUGGGCGUAAAGCGUACGUAGGCGGUUUUGUAAGUUAGAGGUGAAAGCCCGGAGCUCAACUCCGGAAUUGCCUUUAAGACUGCAUCACUUGAAUCGUGGAGAGGUGAGUGGAAUUCCGAGUGUAGAGGUGAAAUUCGUAGAUAUUCGGGAGAACACUAGUGGCGAAGGCGGCUCACUGGACACGUAUUGACGCAGAGGUACGAAAGCGUGGGGAGCAAACAGGAUUAGAUACCCGAGUAGUCCCUGUCUCUUAUAC
rnacentral:rRNA from 1 species